GCGGGGCCACGUUCGGCUGACCGACCUUGGUGGCCCCUGCCAACGCCACGGAAGGUCUGGGUAGCCAGAACGGCAUCUCCAGGCGUAGGAGGGGAGUGUCCCGAUGAGAGGCGGCAGGCCAAGCUGCCUGAGCUGAUUGUCUAUUCAGAAGGAAUCUGGUAGCUGCCAAGCAAGACAUACACAUCCAGAGGACAUCUGAAAGGUGUUCAAAACCAAAGGCCUCCCAAGAUCACCACCAUCUUUAAACAAUACCCAGCAAGCAUUGGAGGGAUCCUGAUUUCCCAGCAGAACACAACAGAGGGGUUGGUUGGCUGCAGCACUGCAGUUGCCACAGACCAAUGCACACAAGAAAUGAAGCCUGCACAUUGGGAGCUCAUCCGUAGAGCACAGAGAAAGGAAUACUGUUCAAUGGGGCUGUCGUUACUGGUGGCGAGACACUUUGGCUACUUCCCAAAUCUGAUUCCUAAUUAAUAGCCAACUAAUACCGUAAUAUGUGCUGUGAAUUGACAACAACGCCUUGAAGAUUUUUUUUAUAAGAGUACCCUUUUCCAACAUGAAAACCUUGAAGAUAUAAACAGCACAUAUCAAGAUCAAUGCGAUCAGAGAUAAAAAGCCCAAGACGGCUGUUAUGCAGUAAAACAAACCAGAAACCACGGAAACUCCAAUUAACGAGGGAGCUGGGAAACGUGGGGAAUGAGUUUGAUAAUGCCUUUACCAGAUAUGUUCCUUCAGAAGACAUAUAUUCAAGUUAGAGAAUAACGACAAAUACAACAGAAACAGAAGAGCAUCCCUACUCCAGCCACCUCAGAGGAACACAUUUGAUGCACAGGGUGGCAACACAUGGUGAAUCUAUUUCAAAAUCUUGUCAAGAGACUCUCUACACAAACAUCGAAGAGGCCCCAAAUUGUUUUUCCCGUAAUCUCCCCUGAUUCCCCCCAUUGUUUCCAAUACUGCUGUCUCUCCGUGAUUUACGACUCUGUUGGAAUGAUGUACAACAGUUGUACUCCUUCCUUAAUGGGAAAAUGUUUAAUAAAAUAGAAUGUCUUGGGAGUGCUCUCGGGAC